AUUGAACGCUGGCGGCAGGCCUAACACAUGCAAGUCGAGCGAGCGGCGGACGGGUGAGUAAUGUCUGGGAACCUGCCUGUUGGAGGGGGAUAACUACUGGAUACGGUAUCUAAUACCGCAUACCAUCAGAUGUGCCCAGAUGGGAUUUGCUAGUAGGUGGGGUAACGGCUCACCUAGGCGACGAUCCCUAGACGGUCUGAGAGGAUGACCAGCCACACUGGAACUGAGACACGGUCAAGACUCCUACGGGAGGCAGCAGUGGGGAAUAUUGCACAAUGGGCGCAAGCCUGAUGCAGCCAUGCCGCGUGUGUGAAGAAGGCCUUCGGGUUGUAAAGCACUUUCAGCGGGGAGGCGUUACCCGCAGAAGAAGCACCGGCUAACUCCGUGCCAGCAGCCGCGGUAAUUC
rnacentral:rRNA from 1 species